AGAGUUUGAUCAUGGCUCAGAUUGAACGCUGGCGGCAUGCCUUACACAUGCAAGUCGAACGGCAGCAUGAUCUAGCUUGCUAGAUUGAUGGCGAGUGGCGAACGGGUGAGUAAUACAUCGGAACGUGCCCUGUAGUGGGGGAUAACUAGUCGAAAGAUUAGCUAAUACCGCAUACGACCUGAGGGUGAAAGUGGGGGACCGCAAGGCCUCAUGCUAUAGGAGCGGCCGAUGUCUGAUUAGCUAGUUGGUGGGGUAAAGGCCCACCAAGGCGACGAUCAGUAGCUGGUCUGAGAGGACGAUCAGCCACACUGGGACUGAGACACGGCCCAGACUCCUACGGGAGGCAGCAGUGGGGAAUUUUGGACAAUGGGCGAAAGCCUGAUCCAGCAAUGCCGCGUGUGUGAAGAAGGCCUUCGGGUUGUAAAGCACUUUUGUCCGGAAAGAAAUGGCUCUGGUUAAUACCUGGGGUCGAUGACGGUACCGGAAGAAUAAGGACCGGCUAACUACGUGCCAGCAGCCGCGGUAAUACGUAGGGUCCAAGCGUUAAUCGGAAUUACUGGGCGUAAAGCGUGCGCAGGCGGUUGUGCAAGACCGAUGUGAAAUCCCCGAGCUUAACUUGGGAAUUGCAUUGGUGACUGCACGGCUAGAGUGUGUC
rnacentral:rRNA from 1 species